rnacentral:rRNA from 1 species
GACGAACGCUGGCGGCGUGCUUAACACAUGCAAGUCGAACGGAAAGGCCCAGCUUGCUGGGUACUCGAGUGGCGAACGGGUGAGUAACACGUGGGUGAUCUGCCCCUUACUUUGGGAUAAGCCUGGGAAACUGGGUCUAAUACCGGAUAUGACCUUACAUCGCAUGGUGUUUGGUGGAAAGCUUUUGCGGUUGGGGAUGGGCCCGCGGCCUAUCAGCUUGUUGGUGGGGUAAUGGCCUACCAAGGCGACGACGGGUAGCCGACCUGAGAGGGUGAUCGGCCACACUGGGACUGAGAGACGGCCCAGACUCCUACGGGAGGCAGCAGUGGGGAAUAUUGCACAAUGGGCGCAAGCCUGAUGCAGCGACGCCGCGUGAGGGAUGACGGCCUUCGGGUUGUAAACCUCUUUCGCCAGGGACGAAGCGUGAGUGACGGUACCUGGAGAAGAAGCACCGGCCAACUACGUG